CAUCACUACGCUAGACGCAUAUCAAUAAGCGGAGGAAAAGAAACUAACUAGGAUUCCCUCAGUAACUGACGAGUGGAGCGGGAAGAGCUCAAAUUUGAAAUCUUCAAGGUUCUGACCUUGACGAAUUGUAGUUUAAAGAAGUGUUUUCGGUUAGAGGAGUUAGGUAAAAGUUCUUUGGAAUAGGACAUCAUAGAGGGUGAGAAUCCCGUAUUUGACCAUUAUUUUCCAGCUGUGUGAUACACUUUCAAAGAGUCGGAUUGUUUGGGAAUGCAGUCCAAAAUGGGUGGUAAAUUUCAUCUAAAGCUAAAUAUUGGCGAGAGACCGAUAGCGAACAAGUACCGUGAGGGAAAGAUGAGAAGAACUUUGAAAAGAGAGUUAAACAGUACGUGAAAUUGUCAAAAGGGAAGCGUUUGACACCAGUGUUGUUUUCUCGAAAAUCAAUUAAAAAAGGCUGGAUUUUAUGUUGUAUUGACUUUAUCAGCUUUCUGCACUCUUUUCUUGUCUUUUUUAAUGCACUUUUCGUUUAACAAGUCAACAUCAAUUUCUUUUGUUGUAAAAGGGUCAUUGGAAGGUGGCUUUCUUUUCGGAGAAAGUGUUUAUAGCCUUUGGCCUCUGCAAUCGGAGAGAUUGAGGUCUGCAGCGUAGAUCCUUCGGGGUUAGAUACAUUUGUGCUAAGUUAUAGCCUUUCAUAGACAACUUGUUGACUAUGAUCAGUCAUGUAGCUUACUCGCUUAUGCUAUUUUACCUACGCUUAGGAUGUUGAUCUCUCACAGUCGAGC
rnacentral:rRNA from 1 species